rnacentral:rRNA from 1 species
GUUAUAUGGUCAAGUGAAGAAGCGCAUACGGUGGAUGCCUUGGCAGUCAGAGGCGAUGAAAGACGUGGUAGCCUGCGAUAAGCUUCGGGGAGUCGGCAAACAGACUUUGAUCCGGAGAUCUCUGAAUGGGGGAACCCACCUGGCAUAAGUCAGGUAUCUUGUACUGAAUACAUAGGUGCAAGAGGCGAACCAGGGGAACUGAAACAUCUAAGUACCCUGAGGAAAAGAAAUCAACCGAGAUUCCCUUAGUAGUGGCGAGCGAACGGGGACUAGCCCUUAAGUGGCUUUGAGAUUAGCGGAACGCUCUGGAAAGUGCGGCCAUAGUGGGUGAUAGCCCUGUACGCGAAAAUCUCUUAGUCAUGAAAUCGAGUAGGACGGAGCACGAGAAACUUUGUCUGAAUAUGGGGGGACCAUCCUCCAAGGCUAAAUACUACUGACUGACCGAUAGUGAACCAGUACCGUGAGGGAAAGGCGAAAAGAACCCCGGAGAGGGGAGUGAAAUAGAUCCUGAAACCGUAUGCGUACAAGCAGUGGGAGCCUACUUUAUAGUGAACCAGUACCGUGAGGGAAAGGCGAAAAGAACCCCGGAGAGGGGAGUGAAAUAGAUCCUGAAACCGUAUGCGUACAAGCAGUGGGAGCCUACUUGUUAGGUGACUGCGUACCUUUUGUAUAAUGGGUCAGCGACUUAUAUUCAGUGGCGAGCUUAACCGAAUAGGGGAGGCGUAGCGAAAGCGUUUGUUAGGUGACUGCGUACCUUUUGUAUAAUGGGUCAGCGACUUAUAUUCAGUGGCGAGCUUAACCGAAUAGGGGAGGCGUAGCGAAAGCGAGUCUUAAUAGGGCGUUUAGUCGCUGGGUAUAGACCCGAAACCGGGCGAUCUAUCCAUGGGCAGGUUGAAGGUUAGGUAACACUGACUGGAGGACCGAACCGACUACCGUUGAAAAGUUAGCGGAUGACCUGUGGAUCGGAGUGAAAGGCUAAUCAAGCUCGGAGAUAGCUGGUUCUCCUCGAAAGCUAUUUAGGUAGCGCCUCAUGUAUCACUGUAGGGGGUAGAGCACUGUUUCGGCUAGGGGGUCAUCCCGACUUACCAAACCGAUGCAAACUCCGAAUACCUACAAGUGCCGAGCAUGGGAGACACACGGCGGGUGCUAACGUCCGUCGUGAAAAGGGAAACAACCCAGACCGUCAGCUAAGGUCCCAAAGUUAUGGUUAAGUGGGAAACGAUGUGGGAAGGCUUAGACAGCUAGGAGGUUGGCUUAGAAGCAGCCACCCUUUAAAGAAAGCGUAAUAGCUCACUAGUCGAGUCGGCCUGCGCGGAAGAUGUAACGGGGCUCAAACCAUACACCGAAGCUACGGGUAUCACUUAGGUGAUGCGGUAGAGGAGCGUUCUGUAAGCCUGUGAAGGUGAGUUGAGAAGCUUGCUGGAGGUAUCAGAAGUGCGAAUGCUGACAUGAGUAACGACAAUGGGAGUGAAAAACUCCCACGCCGAAAGACCAAGGUUUCCUGCGCAACGUUAAUCGACGCAGGGUUAGUCGGUCCCUAAGGCGAGGCUGAAAAGCGUAGUCGAUCUCCCACGCCGAAAGACCAAGGUUUCCUGCGCAACGUUAAUCGACGCAGGGUUAGUCGGUCCCUAAGGCGAGGCUGAAAAGCGUAGUCGAUGGAAAACAGGUUAAUAUUCCUGUACUUCUGGUUAUUGCGAUGGAGGGACGGAGAAGGCUAGGCCAGCUUGGCGUUGGUUGUCCAAGUUUAAGGUCGAUGGAAAACAGGUUAAUAUUCCUGUACUUCUGGUUAUUGCGAUGGAGGGACGGAGAAGGCUAGGCCAGCUUGGCGUUGGUUGUCCAAGUUUAAGGUGGUAGGCUGAGAUCUUAGGUAAAUCCGGGAUCUUAAGGCCGAGAGCUGAUGACGAGUUGCCAUUAGGCGACGAAGUGGUUGAUGCCAUGCUUCCAAGAAAAGCUUCUAAGCUUCAGGUAACCAGGAACCGUACCCCAAACCGACACAGGUGGUUGGGUAGAGAAUACCAAGGCGCUUGAGAGAACUCGGGGGAAGGAACUAGGCAAAAUGGCACCGUAACUUCGGGAGAAGGUGCGCCGGUGAGGGUGAAGGACUUGCUCCGUAAGCUCAUGCCGGUCGAAGAUACCAGGCCGCUGCGACUGUUUAUUAAAAACACAGCACUCUGCAAACACGAAAGUGGACGUAUAGGGUGUGACGCCUGCCCGGUGCCGGAAGGUUAAUUGAUGGGGUUAGCUAACGCGAAGCUCUUGAUCGAAGCCCCGGUAAACGGCGGCCGUAACUAUAACGGUCCUAAGGUAGCGAAAUUCCUUGUCGGGUAAGUUCCGACCUGCACGAAUGGCGUAACGAUGGCGGCGCUGUCUCCACCCGAGACUCAGUGAAAUUGAAAUCGCUGUGAAGAUGCAGUGUAUCCGCGGCUAGACGGAAAGACCCCGUGAACCUUUACUAUAGCUUUGCACUGGACUUUGAAUUUGCUUGUGUAGGAUAGGUGGGAGGCUUUGAAGCGUGGACGCCAGUCUGCGUGGAGCCAUCCUUGAAAUACCACCCUGGCAACUUUGAGGUUCUAACUCAGGUCCGUUAUCCGGAUCGAGGACAGUGUAUGGUGGGUAGUUUGACUGGGGCGGUCUCCUCCUAAAGAGUAACGGAGGAGUACGAAGGUGCGCUCAGACCGGUCGGAAAUCGGUCGUAGAGUAUAAAGGCAAAAGCGCGCUUGACUGCGAGACAGACACGUCGAGCAGGUACGAAAGUAGGUCUUAGUGAUCCGGUGGUUCUGUAUGGAAGGGCCAUCGCUCAACGGAUAAAAGGUACUCCGGGGAUAACAGGCUGAUACCGCCCAAGAGUUCAUAUCGACGGCGGUGUUUGGCACCUCGAUGUCGGCUCAUCACAUCCUGGGGCUGAAGCCGGUCCCAAGGGUAUGGCUGUUCGCCAUUUAAAGUGGUACGCGAGCUGGGUUUAGAACGUCGUGAGACAGUUCGGUCCCUAUCUGCCGUGGACGUUUGAGAUUUGAGAGGGGCUGCUCCUAGUACGAGAGGACCGGAGUGGACGAACCUCUGGUGUUCCGGUUGUCACGCCAGUGGCAUUGCCGGGUAGCUAUGUUCGGAAGAGAUAACCGCUGAAAGCAUCUAAGCGGGAAACUUGCCUCAAGAUGAGAUCUCUUGUCACGCCAGUGGCAUUGCCGGGUAGCUAUGUUCGGAAGAGAUAACCGCUGAAAGCAUCUAAGCGGGAAACUUGCCUCAAGAUGAGAUCUCACUGGAGCCUUGAGCUCCCUGAAGGGCCGUCGAAGACUACGACGUUGAUAGGUUGGGUGUGUAAGCGCUGUGAGGCGUUGAGCUAACCAAUACUAAUUGCCCGUGAGGCUUGUCCCUGAAGGGCCGUCGAAGACUACGACGUUGAUAGGUUGGGUGUGUAAGCGCUGUGAGGCGUUGAGCUAACCAAUACUAAUUGCCCGUGAGGCUUGACCAUAUAACACCCAAGCAAUU